GACGAACGCUGGCGGCGUGCUUAACACAUGCAAGUCGAACGGAAAGGCCCUGCUUGCAGGGUACUCGAGUGGCGAACGGGUGAGUAACACGUGGGUGAUCUGCCCUGCACUUCGGGAUAAGCCUGGGAAACUGGGUCUAUUACCGGAUAGGAGCCAUUCUUAGUGUGAUGGUUGGAAAGUUUUUUCGGUGUAGGAUGAGCUCGCGGCCUAUCAGCUUGUUGGUGGGGUAAUGGCCUACCAAGGCGGCGACGGGUAGCCGGCCUGAGAGGGUGGACGGCCACAAUGGGACUGGGAAACGGGCCAGACUCCUACGGGAGGCAGCAGUGGGGAAUAUUGCACAAUGGGCGCAAGCCUGAUGCAGCGACGCCGCGUGGGGGAUGACGGGCUUCGGGUUGUAAACUCCUUUCGCUAGGGACGAAGCUUUUUGUGACGGUACCUAGAUAAGAAGCACCGGCUAACUACGUG
rnacentral:rRNA from 1 species